CAGCCCUAAACGAUGCGCGUUAGGUGUAUCGGUGACCACGAGUCACCGAGGUGCCGAAGGGAAACCGUGAAACGUGCCGCCUGGGAAGUACGGUCGCAAGGCUGAAACUUAAAGGAAUUGGCGGGGGAGCACCACGACGGGUGGAGCCUGCGGUUUAAUUGGACUCAACGCCGGGAAGCUCACCGGAUAAGACAGCGGAAUGAUUGCCGGGCUGAAGACCCUGCAUGACCAGCUGAGAGGAGGUGCAUGGCGUAGACGUCU
rnacentral:rRNA from 1 species